rnacentral:rRNA from 1 species
UACGUAGGUGACCAGCGUUGUCCGGAAUUACUGGGCGUAAAGGGCGCGUAGGCGGCUGGUCAAGUCAGGUGUGAAAGCCCACGGCUUAACCGUGUGAAGUGCAUCUGAAACUGGUCGGCUUGAGUAUCGGAGAGGAAAGUGGAAUUCCCGGUGUAGAGGUGAAAUUCGUAGAUAUCAGGAGGAACACCGGUGGCGAAGGCGACUUCCUGGCCCUAUACUGACGCUGAGACGCGAGAGCGUGGGUAGCAAACAGGAUUAGAUACCCGGGUAGU